GGCAAGGUGGCCGAGUGGUUAAGGCGGCAGAGUUAAGAUCUGCUGGAGCGAUCUUCCAGGGUUCGAAUCCCUGUCUUGCCA